rnacentral:rRNA from 1 species
AGUGAACGCUGGCGGUAGGCCUAACACAUGCAAGUCGAACGGCAGCACAGUAAGAGCUUGCUCUUACGGGUGGCGAGUGGCGGACGGGUGAGGAAUACAUCGGAAUCUGCUUUUUCGUGGGGGAUAACGUAGGGAAACUUACGCUAAUACCGCAUACGACCUACGGGUGAAAGCAGGGGAUCUUCGGACCUUGCGCGAUUGAAUGAGCCGAUGUCGGAUUAGCUAGUUGGCGGGGUAAAGGCCCACCAAGGCGACGAUCCGUAGCUGGUCUGAGAGGAUGAUCAGCCACACUGGAACUGAGACACGGUCCAGACUCCUACGGGAGGCAGCAGUGGGGAAUAUUGGACAAUGGGCGCAAGCCUGAUCCAGCCAUACCGCGUGGGUGAAGAGGGCCUUCGGGUUGUAAAGCCCUUUUGUUGGGAAAGAAAAGCAGCAGGUUAAUACCCCGCUGUUCUGACGGUACCUAAAGAAUAAGCACCGGCUAACUUCGUG